rnacentral:hammerhead_ribozyme from 1 species
AUCCAUCUGACGAGUUCCAAAUAUGACGAAACGUACAUCCUGGAU